GAGGGUAGAGCUCAGUGGUAGAGCGCGUGCUUAGCAUGCAUGAGGUCCUGGGUUCAAUCCCCAGUACCUCCA
rfam:Camelus ferus unplaced genomic scaffold scaffold1392, whole genome shotgun sequence.